CCUAUUUCAGCUAACAAUCCUACCUCCCAACACAUGUCCUUGUGUGGGAAUCGAUGCAUAUUGCUUAUGAGCCUAACUGCGACGCGGCCCAACCAAGCCUCCGCCAUUGUUGGACCUAUUUCAACCAACACUUUGGUUCUCAAAUUUUAAUUUAUUGUAUUUCAUGUCUCAAACUUUUUGAAUCGUUGCAAUUAUAUCUUACAAUCUAAUUUAUUUGGCUAAAUUUUGACAAAUUAUUAAUAUAGAAAUAAUAUAACAUAUUAAUUAUGGCUAGGAUUAUUAUACCCUUAUGAGUAUUGACCCUUUUGUGUUCAUAAAUUUUCGAUUAUUGGAUGAAGGGAUGUGUAGUUAGGAUGAUAAUGAUCCCCGGUUAAAUGAUAGUGGUCCAUUAGGAUUGAGUGAGUAGUUGGUUGAAUAAUAUGAUCUAACAUGUGGAAAUGAUCAAAGGGUAGAUCUAACCGUCGAAAAUUUAUGAGUAUAAAAGAGUGUAUAUUCAUUAGAGUAUAGUAACUAGACUCAUUUAUUAUUAUUGCAUCAUCAAUCACAAUACUUCCACAUUAUUUAAACAUCAAUAAUUUGUUAACAUUUAGCCAACUAAAUUGGAUUGUAAAAUUUGAUUGCAAUAAUUCAGAAAGCCCGAGUCAGAAAUUGCAAUAAUUAAAAUUUAAUGACCAAAGUAUCAAACAUCUCAUAGUUUGAGGACCAAAA
rnacentral:lncRNA from 1 species